UAGCGGAGGAAAAGAAACCAACAGGGAUUGCCUUAGUAGCGGCGAGUGAAGCGGCAAAAGCUCAAAUUUGAAAUCUGGCACUUUCAGUGUCCGAGUUGUAAUUUGAAGAAGGUAUCUUUGGGUCUGGCUCUUGUCUAUGUUUCUUGGAACAGAACGUCACAGAGGGUGAGAAUCCCGUGCGAUGAGAUGUCCCAGACCUAUGUAAAGUUCCUUCGAAGAGUCGAGUUGUUUGGGAAUGCAGCUCUAAGUGGGUGGUAAAUUCCAUCUAAAGCUAAAUAUUGGCGAGAGACCGAUAGCGAACAAGUACAGUGAUGGAAAGAUGAAAAGAACUUUGAAAAGAGAGUGAAAAAGUACGUGAAAUUGUUGAAAGGGAAGGGCUUGAGAUCAGACUUGGUAUUUUGUAUGUUACUCUCUCGGGGGUGGCCUCUACAGUUUACCGGGCCAGCAUCAGUUUGAGCGGUAGGAUAAGUGCAAAGAAAUGUGGCACUGCUUCGGUAGUGUGUUAUAGUCUUUGUCGAUACUGCCAGCUUAGACUGAGGACUGCGGCUUCGGCCUAGGAUGUUGGCAUAAUGAUCUUAAGUCCCCCGUCUUGAAACACGGGACCAAAAAACGGGUC
rnacentral:rRNA from 1 species